GCUCGGUGGUGUGUAGAAUCAUAUUGUUUUAAUUUAGUGGUCUGUAGAAUCGGUUGUCUAAAUAUUACUCAGGUAGCAUCCUGAAUCGCACUGAAACUGAUCCUUCAUGGAAGGAUAAGUGCGAUAUGUAUUGCUGGCAAUACAUAUCACACUUGAGUACAGCUGCAGCGCCCCACCUGGGAAGUGAACCUACAACCUUAGAGCUACAAGGCCAUUUUGCAAACCAUCAUACCACACUGCCACGCCUACAUGGCUGACAUUUUUAUGUUGUUAAACAUCUCAGAGCUGCUUUGUCACAGGACUGGGACAAGGAUCUGAGGGUGGCAGAAUGCCUUGUGGAGUGCAGAUUGGGUUACAAGACUUGACAGGUGCACAAUGACCUGUGCCAGCAGACACCAAAAGCUUCACAACAGAGAUGAAUUUCCAGGUCUCAGCAAUGCCACUAGACCCACGUAUAUGGAACAACAAUACAUUCACUCAGGAGCCUUUCAAAGAGACCUGCUAACCUGCAAGACGAUCUGCCAAAUUCUCACCCUCUUGGUUCAUUGUUCCUGCUUCACUAUCAAGUUGCAGAUCCCAUUCAAAGACAAACCAUUGCACUUGAUGUCCAAUAAAAUGACAACCAUCAUUGAAAUGGGCCUACUGUAUCUCAAGCUGUCUUCUGAAGUGCGUCCUCUUCACUCUGCAGUCUGACUCACUGCUCUCUGCAUCAAAGCUUAACACUUCAAGUGCAGCUAAUGCAGAUAGGCCACAGGAGCACGCUGGCCAGAGAGGAGAAGCCUAACUGAAACCCUCCAUCCCGGUUCACCCUGCUGGGCUCCUGGACCUGUUAGUACUGGCAUGGACAGGAAAUAAUUGGGGUUUUUAAAAAUUAUAAUCAUCUGGCAAAAAAAUACAUUGCACUAUUUUGUUCAAUGGAUUGCUAGACAGUUGGGAAUGAGAAGCUUUCCAUCUCUCUGUACUGACUGGGAUCGGUCAGGGGUAACAAACAACAAGCCAUUAGCUUUUUUUCUGUUUUUUUGUUGGGAGGGAGGUGAGAUUUUUGUCAAAAAGAUGGAAGUCAUUGAAACCAUCAAGGAGGAUUUCCUGUUCCUACAAUGUAUGCAUGCAUAUGAAGCCUGAGUGAACACAGCAUUAUGAUAUGUUUAUCACAGUACUGUCUUAAUGGAAUUCAUUUGAAUUUAAAUGAGUUAAGGGCGCUGAGGAGAGGGGGAGUUUCCUAACAAAGUCAAAGGUGAAUAUAUUUUUAGUUCAUUAAUACCAGUACCCACUUCAUAAAUAUGGCAGCAAAUUUUAAAAUGAUUUGUGACAAAAACAAUAUGGUGCCACAAUAAUGCAGAUGCUCUAGCAGUGUUUGUUAUUGAAGGGAUCCUGUUCUGGAGUCCUGCAGUCAAGAGAUAUGCAUUUUUGCUCUUUCGCUCAGUCCGUCGACCAAGGUUGCCAGAAGCUGGAGAGGACAGUCCAUGCAUAGGCCACGAGGGCCAUUAUUACAAUGUAAAGUGUUGUUGAUCCUGUCCGCACAUAUAGGAGGCUGAGAACUUAAUUAGAGCUUUGA